CAGGCUUUACACUUUACAAUUGCAUAUGAUACGCCAAUCCUCUCCAUUAACUUCGGUGCAGAGCAGAUGCGUCCGAAUACCACGCAGCAUCUUCAGCGGCAAUGACGUCACCAGCGAGGCUCGGCUGAUGCGCGUGCACCUGCAAACAGAAAGCUGCUAGAAUUAACAGGGAACUCAAUGCUGAUCUUGAAGAAGCUGCCAAGGCUGAACAAGUCCUUCAAUGAUUCAACUCUUCACACUGAAAGGGAAGACCAAAGGAAGGCCUGUCCUGGGAUUUGAUUUUGGCCGUAUUGUGCGUUUACGGAGAAGACCCAGAGCUGCAAAGACAAAUGGAUUUCUCACGGAUUACGUAGUCCUUCUCCAUCAGCUCUCCACAGUAUCAGCGCUUCCAAAAGCUUCCACAUCUCUCUCAUGUAGCACAUCUGCUCUCUUCCAGUCUUAACAGGUCUACUUGUAUUCAUUUCUCCUCUACAGUCAACUACUGUGAGCACCGCUCCUGUCACAAUCACUAUAUAUAUAUAUAUAUAUAUUUCUUGCUCAAAACGGUUCACUUUUAUAAUUAUAAAAUUAUAAUUGUUAUUAACUAUAAUUUGUCUUGCACUUAGUCACAAUAGAAGCAAAGAAUGAUUACUGGAGACAGGAGAUAUAUUUUUAAAGGUAAUAAUUGUAAAAUAUUGAAGUGUUGUUCUUAAUUUUGUACCUAUUUGUUUGUUAAAGGGAAGAAAAUAAUAUCUUUUAAAUUGGAGCCUUGAAUAUUCUUUGGCAUCUUAUUUGUUUACGAUUUCUGUAAACAAAUUCUCUUUAUUUGUGAAUAUUAGACCAUUUUUUUAAAAAGGGGUUUUCUAUUGCAUAUUUCUUAGUUACCUCUAUGCAAAUACAUGUUUAUAAUCAACUGCAUUUUUUGUUUUCAUUAUUUUUCCAUAGUGCCACAAACUGGAGAGAGAAUGCUGUUCUGGGCACUAUGCUUAUCUUGGAAAAGUUUGACAUAUCAAUAAACAUUGGAAAAUGACUACAAAAUGUGUGAUUCAAUUUUUAGUUUUUUAAUUGUUUGCUUGUUUUUUAUUCCUAUACUUCAACUGGCAGAUCUAUGAAUGGCAAGUUUGUACGGUCCAUUUCCAGGAAACAUAGAAGUGAUUCAUUAUUUACCUUUAAUACACUAUAACACUAAAUGUUACAGAAGCAUGAUUUAAAAUACUGCAUGUUUGAAUAAUCAGUUUUUUUUUUGUUUUUUUAAGCAACUGAAAUAUUUUGAUUUGAAAAUGUAUUACUGAAAUUUGUUUUUCACAUGGUAUAUGCAAACUUUUGAGUUUAAAUAUUGUACAUUAAUUUAUAUUAGUGUAAACAGUGUAUACAAUGGGAACCAUUACACCCUUGUUUGAAAAAAAAAAGAUCACUGUAAUCAACAAAUCUAUUGCUGCAUCAGGGUUAAGGAUUGGCGUAUCAUAUGCACGCAAAAGUGGCAUUUGGCGUGUGCAUUAUACGCAAUUGCAAAGUGUAACGCCGUGUUAUUUAUACGCAGAUUGAUGAGAACGGGUUGCGUAAAUCAGUUGUUUAAUGAAUAUGGCCACUUAUUAAAUUAUUACUCUUUCCUAUCCUUCUAUUUUACCUUCUUUAGAUUCUAUUUCAGUGCUUUUCUGCCUCUUCUUCUAAUAAAUCAAUACGUUUGUUAUUUCUUAAUGAUUUUGUAUCAAUUCCAGAUGUUUUUGAUUCCAAAUAGAUACUUAAUUACUAAUGUUUUGUUUGGUUUUGUUCAUUCAAAAAAGUGCAUUUACAGAAAAGUAAAUUGUACUUAAUCUCCUUAUUUUGUUAACAAAAUGUUAUAUACAUAAAUGUAAAAGUUCAUGUCAGAAGCCAUUGUUUUAUGUAUUGCUUGCUGACAUACAGCACUACUUUGAGACUAUUUAUAAUUAUUGUAAUAAGAAGGCUUUAA